AUUGAACGCUGGCGGCAUGCCUUACACAUGCAAGUCGAACGGCAGCACGGGUGCUUGCCCCUGGUGGCGAGUGGCGAACGGGUGAGUAAUACAUCGGAACAUGUCCUGUAGUGGGGGAUAGCCCGGCGAAAGCCGGAUUAAUACCGCAUACGAUCUACGGAUGAAAGCGGGGGACCUUCGGGCCUCGCGCUAUAGGGUUGGCCGAUGGCUGAUUAGCUAGUUGGUGGGGUAAAGGCCAACCAAGGCGACGAUCAGUAGCUGGUCUGAGAGGACGACCAGCCACACUGGGACUGAGACACGGCCCAGACUCCUACGGGAGGCAGCAGUGGGGAAUUUUGGACAAUGGGCGAAAGCCUGAUCCAGCAAUGCCGCGUGUGUGAAGAAGGCCUUCGGGUUGUAAAGCACUUUUGUCCGGAAAGAAAUCCUUGGCCCUAAUACGGUCGGGGGAUGACGGUACCGGAAGAAUAAGCACCGGCUAACUACGUG
rnacentral:rRNA from 1 species